GACAGAUUAGCAGCACAUAUACUAAAACUGAAAUAAUACAGAGAGGACGAGCUAAACCCCUGCACCAGGAUGACAUGAAAAUUUGUAUAGUGUUCUAUAUUUUA